GAUAAACGCUGGCGGCAUGCCUAACACAUGCAAGUCGAACGGGGUACCCCUGAAGGAGGCUUCGGCCAACGGAAGGGACUACCUAGUGGCGGACGGGUGAGUAACGCGUGAGGAACCUGCCUCGGAGUGGGGGAUAACACAUCGAAAGGUGUGCUAAUACCGCAUAACAUAAGGGAAGGGCAUCCUUUUCUUAUCAAAGAUUUAUUGCUCUGAGAUGGCCUCGCGUCCAAUUAGCUAGUUGGUGGGGUAAUGGCCCACCAAGGCGACGAUUGGUAGCCGGACUGAGAGGUUGAACGGCCACAUUGGGACUGAGACACGGCCCAG
rnacentral:rRNA from 1 species